CCUACGGGAGGCUGCAGUGAGGAAUAUUGGUCAAUGGACGAGAGUCUGAACCAGCCAAGUAGCGUGAAGGAUGACUGCCCUAUGGGUUGUAAACUUCUUUUAUAUGGGAAUAAAACGUUCCACGUGUGGGAUUUUGUAUGUACCAUAUGAAUAAGGAUCGGCUAACUCCGGGCCAGCAGCCGCGGUAAUACGGAGGAUCCGAGCGUUAUCCGGAUUUAUUGGGUUUAAAGGGAGCGUAGGUGGAUUGUUAAGGCAGUUGUGAAAGUGUGCGGCUCAACCGUAAAAUUGCAGUUGAAACUGGCAGUCUUGAGUACAGGAGAGGUGGGCGGAAUUCGUGGUGUAGCGGUGAAAUGCUUAGAUAUCACGAAGAACUCCGAUUGCGAAGGCAGUUCACUGGACUGCAACUGACACUGAGGCUCGAAAGUGUGGGUAUCAAACAGGAUUAGAUACCCCGGUAGUC
rnacentral:rRNA from 1 species